rnacentral:rRNA from 1 species
GUUUGUUGGUGGGGUAAAGGCCUACCAAGACUACGAUGGUUAGCUGGUCUGAGAGGAUGAUCAGCCACACUGGAACUGGAACACGGUCCAGACUCCUACGGGAGGCAGCAGUGAGGAAUUUUGCGCAAUGGGGGAAACCCUGACGCAGCAACGCCGCGUGAGUGAAGAAGGCCCUUGGGUCGUAAAGCUCUGUCGACAGGGAAGAAAUUAUUUCAUAUUAAUAGUAUGUUGUAUUGACGGUACCUGUAGAGGAAGCACCGGCUAACUCCGUGCCAGCAGCCGCGGUAAUACGGGGGGUGCAAGCGUUAUUCGGAAUUAUUGGGCGUAAAGGGCGCGUAGGCGGUCUUGUCGGUCAGAUGUGAAAGCCCGGGGCUCAACCCUGGAAGUGCAUUUGAAACAGCAAGACUUGAGUACGGGAGAGGAGAGCGGAAUUCCUGGUGUAGAGGUGAAAUUCGUAGAUAUCAGGAGGAACACCGAUGGCGAAGGCAGCUCUCUGGACCGAUACUGACGCUGAGGCGCGAAGGUGUGGGUAGCGAACGGGAUUAGAUACCCCGGUAGUCCACACAGUAAACGUUGUUCACUCGGUGUAUCGGAUAUUAAAAUCUGAUGUGCCCAAGCUAACGUGGUAAGUGAACCGCCUGGGGAGUACGGUCGCAAGACUAAAACUCAAAGGAAUUGACGGGGGCCCGCACAAGCGGUGGAGCAUGUGGUUUAAUUCGACAACGCGAAGAACCUUACCUGGAUUUGACAUCCUGUGAAUCCCUUGGAAACUUGGGAGUGCCUUCGGGAACACAGUGACAGGUGCUGCAUGGCUGUCGUCAGUUCGUGUCGUGAGAUGUUUGGUUAAGUCCAGCAACGAGCGCAACCCUUAUCGUUAGUUGCCAGCACGUAAUGGUGGGAACUCUAGCGAGACUGCCCCGGUUAACGGGGAGGAAGGUGGGGAUGACGUCAAGUCCUCAUGGCCCUUAUAUCCAGGGCUACACACGUGCUACAAUGGUAAGUACAGAGGGCAGCAAGCCAGCGAUGGUUAGCUAAUCCCUAAAGCUUAUCUCAGUCCGGAUUGGAGUCUGCAACUCGACUCCAUGAAGUUGGAAUCGCUAGUAAUCGCGGAUCAGCAUGCCGCGGUGAAUAUGUUCCCGGGCCUUGUACACACCGCCCGUCACACCAUGAGAGUUGAUUAUACCCGACGUCGUUGGGCUAACCCUUCGGGGAAGCAGGCGCCUAAGGUAUGGUUGGUAAUUGGGGUGAAGUCGUAACAAGGUA